rnacentral:rRNA from 1 species
AAACCAACAGGGAUUGCCCCAGUAACGGCGAGUGAAGCGGCAACAGCUCAAAUUUGAAAUCUGGCCCCUCGGGCCCGAGUUGUAAUUUGUAGAGGAUGCUUUUGGCAAGGUGCCGCCCGAGUUCCCUGGAACGGGACGCCGCAGAGGGUGAGAGCCCCGUCUGGCUGGCCACCGAGCCUCUGUAAAGCUCCUUCGACGAGUCGAGUAGUUUGGGAAUGCUGCUCAAAAUGGGAGGUAUAUGUCUUCUAAAGCUAAAUAUUGGCCAGAGACCGAUAGCGCACAAGUAGAGUGAUCGAAAGAUGAAAAGCACUUUGAAAAGAGGGUUAAACAGUACGUGAAAUUGUUGAAAGGGAAGCGCUCAUGACCAGACUUGGGCUUGGCGAAUCAUCCGGCGUUCUCGCCGGUGCACUUCGCCUCGCCCAGGCCAGCAUCAGUUCGCGCCGGGGGACAAAAGCUUCGGGAAUGUGGCUCCUCCGGGAGUGUUAUAGCCCGUUGCAUAAUACCCUGGGGCGGACUGAGGUUCGCGCAUCUGCAAGGAUGCUGGCGUAAUGGUCAUCAGCGAC